AUACGAUGGAGCCUUUUUUAUUGGUAAAUUCACAUGUUGUUUUUCCCAUUGAACUGUUGUUUUUCUUUCUUUAUUUUUUUAAAGCUAAUUUUGGUUGCAAUUUUGUGCAUAGUAUCUGGAACAGAGCCUCCUUGAGAGUUAUUCAUCUAGUUGAAGGCUUCCCUUUGUGGUAUUGCUACUUUAUGCUUGCUAGAAAUAUUUAAUCAUCAAUUAACUAUCUUGUGUUUAUCUCAAAAUAUGAUGGCCAGUUUGCUAUGAGGAAUUUUAUCUGCAUUACUAGUUGAUAAUCACACUUUGGAAGGUGAAAAGACCUUCAUUUAAUAGAGGUUCGUAUUUUUGAUCAGAUACCGAAUUGUGUUUACCACUUUGUCAGGCUAUGCACUUCAAUUUGGCAUUGGGUUAUCAUUUCUAAUUCAAAUUCCAUUCCGAUUGUUACCCUUUCCGAAUAAUGCACAGCAAUGACACACAUCGUUUGGAAAUUUCAAAAUCUUGUGUACAGGAUGCCAUGAAUUUAAACAAUGUACUAAUAUCUAUUAUGUAUUACCUAUCUUUCCACCCUUGGAUUCAUGUUGUGGUUGUUCAAAAAUUCCCCAUUAUGAUUCAUUUCAUACUGUGCAACAUGAAAGGAGAAUGAAACUUGAAGCUUCUGCCAAGGCAGGACAUGGAUACUUUCUACUCUUGAUAGCCAGUUAUAAUAUUUGAAUCUAUAUUCUGUUAUUUAUAGUCAUUGGCAUUGGUGUUUAGUCCCUUGACUUCUAUAGCAGUCCAUGGUGACAUGAUGAAGAAGGAAAUGGAGGCAAGUGCUCUGCUGGGGUCCAUGGCUUUGCAAUGAAGCUUAAUGUGGUCUCAAGGUGUAUUAGGUUUUCUACUCCUUCAGUGCAGCUUAUGAAGUUCUAAGACUGCUGCAGAAGGCUUCAUCUCAAAUUGAGGUGAUGCACUCCCACUUCUCCAAUGUUAAUGAAGAUUAUAUCUGAAGUAUAAUAUAUAUCACUCUUCUCUUCCUAGCUUGGAAGAGAGAGAAAGAAAGGGAUAGAGUGUUCUACUCCACCAUCUAAGUAUGUGAUGAAAAGUUACAAAGGAAACUUGUUUGCUAAAAGAAGAGAAACCAUUGUGUUAAAGAAGGCGAAGU